rnacentral:rRNA from 1 species
CCUACGGGAGGCAGCAGUGGGGAAUAUUGCACAAUGGGCGCAAGCCUGAUGCAGCCAUGCCGCGUGUGUGAAGAAGGCCUUCGGGUUGUAAAGCACUUUCAGCGGGGAGGAAGGCGGUGAGGUUAAUAACCUCAUCGAUUGACGUUACCCGCAGAAGAAGCACCGGCUAACUCCGUGCCAGUAGCCGCGGUAAUACGGAGGGUGCAAGCGUUAAUCGGAAUUACUGGGCGUAAAGCGCACGCAGGCGGUCUGUCAAGUCGGAUGUGAAAUCCCCGGGCUCAACCUGGGAACUGCAUUCGAAACUGGCAGGCUAGAGUCUUGUAGAGGGGGGUAGAAUUCCAGGUGUAGCGGUGAAAUGCGUAGAGAUCUGGAGGAAUACCGGUGGCGAAGGCGGCCCCCUGGACAAAGACUGACGCUCAGGUGCGAAAGCGUGGGGAGCAAACAGGAUUAGAUACCCUAGUAGUC